rnacentral:rRNA from 1 species
GACGUAGGAGGCGAGCGUUGUCCGGAUUCAUUGGGCGUAAAGAGCACGCAGGCGGUUUGGCAAGUCGGAUGUGAAAACCCGAAGCUCAACUUCGGGCCUGCAUCCGAAACUGCCCGACUAGAGGUAGGUAGGGGAGAUCGGAAUUCCUGGUGUAGCGGUGAAAUGCGCAGAUAUCAGGAAGAACACCCGUGGCUAAGGCGGCUCUCUAGUACGGUACUGACGCUGAGACGCGAAAGCGUGGGGAGCGAACAGG